GGGUUCUGGGCUGGAUGGGUGGGUGCUGGGGGCCGCAUGCCGCGUGCCCUCACUGCCCACUCCCAGGCACCAGCCAGGCCCCGCCCCAAGGACGGCAGCUCCUCGGGACAGGACCAAAAGAGGCCCCCCCGCCCAACAUCUGGCCUCGCCGCUGUUGGUAGGCCCUGUGCCCAGGCUUCAGCUCAGGCCCACCUCUGAUCCCACUGUGAUCAAACGUGUCAGCCUGGGCACUGAGCACCACCCCCUGACCCAGAUCCUGGUGUUCUAGCUCCUAACCUGCCACCACCUGGCAGGGUGACCCUGGGCAGGGCAGGCCUCUGUAAAUGAGCCAGAUGAGAGGCUCUCUAUGAAUUCUUCGAGUUCUAAUGCUUCGUCCCACUGCAAGGACACCCUGGUUUCCCAGAGGCCUGGGACUGAGGACCGAAGGGCUGCACAUCCUGGAGAGGCUCUGCUCCAGCUGGCCGGCCCCAGCCAGCACCCACGAGUGCGGCAUGGGGAAAGGACUUGCAGACGAGACCACAGACCUGCUGAGCAAUUUUGGAGGAAUCACACAUAGCAGCAGAGGGCCAGACAUUUCCGACCAUGAAUUGUGUUUAAAUUUUCCCACAAGGAAAAACGAUGAAGUCUAGAAACUUUAAAUUGGAAUCUCAAACA